rnacentral:rRNA from 1 species
GUGGGGAAUUUUGGACAAUGGGCGCAAGCCUGAUCCAGCCAUGCCGCGUGCAGGAUGAAGGCCUUCGGGUUGUAAACUGCUUUUGUACGGAACGAAAAGACUCUGGUUAAUACCUGGGGUCCAUGACGGUACCGUAAGAAUAAGCACCGGCUAACUACGUGCCAGCAGCCGCGGUAAUACGUAGGGUGCGAGCGUUAAUCGGAAUUACUGGGCGUAAAGCGUGCGCAGGCGGUUAUAUAAGACAGAUGUGAAAUCCCCGGGCUCAACCUGGGAACUGCAUUUGUGACUGUAUAGCUAGAGUACGGCAGAGGGGGAUGGAAUUCCGCGUGUAGCAGUGAAAUGCGUAGAUAUGCGGAGGAACACCGAUGGCGAAGGCAAUCCCCUGGGCCUGUACUGACGCUCAUGCACGAAAGCGUGGGGAGCAAACAGGAUUAGAUACCCUGGUAGUCC